GUUGAAACACAGAUGCCCAUAUGAUCAUCUGAAGUUAAGCAAUAUUGAUCCUGGUCAGUACCUUGAUGAGUGAUCACUUGGGAAUACCAGGUGCUGUAAG